rnacentral:rRNA from 1 species
AGAGUUUGAUCCUGGCUCAGAGUGAACGCUGGCGGCGUGCCUAACACAUGCAAGUCGAACGAGAACGGGUAUUAGUUUACUAAUACUGUCAGCUAAGUGGCGCACGGGUGAGUAAUAUAUAGUUAAUCUGCCCCAAAGAAGAGAAUAAUUGUUGGAAACGACUUGUAAUGCUCUAUAUGCCUUUAUCACAUAAGUGAGCAAGGGAAAUAUUUAUAGCUUUGGGAUGAGACUGUACGGUAUCAGUUUGUUGGUGAGGUAAUGGCCCACCAAGACUAUGACGCCUAACUGGUUUGAGAGGAUGAUCAGUCACACUGGAACUGAGACACGGUCCAGACUCCUACGGGAGGCAGCAGUGGGGAAUAUUGCACAAUGGAGGAAACUCUGAUGCAGCAACGCCGCGUGGAGGAUGACACAUUUCGGUGCGUAAACUCCUUUUAUUAGGGAAGAUAAUGACGGUACCUAAUGAAUAAGCACCGGCUAACUCCGUGCCAGCAGCCGCGGUAAUACGGGGGGUGCAAGCGUUACUCGGAAUCACUGGACGUAAAGAGCAUGUAGGCUGGUUUGUAAGUUGGAAGUGAAAUCCUAUGGCUUAACCAUAGAACUGCUUCCAAAACUGCAGACCUAGAGUAUGGGAGAGGUAGAUGGAAUUUCUGGUGUAGGGGUAAAAUCCGUAGAGAUCA